rnacentral:tRNA from 1 species
UCUCUGGUGGUCCAGUGGCUAAGACUCUGCACUCCCAAUGCAGGGGACCCAGGUUCAAUUCCUAGUCAGGGAA